rnacentral:rRNA from 1 species
UACGGAGGGUGCAAGCGUUAUCCGGAUUCACUGGGCUUAAAGGGUGCGUAGGCGGCUAUAUAAGUCAGUGGUGAAAGCCCGCAGCUCAACUGCGGAACUGCCAUUGAAACUGCAUAGCUUGAAUCUGGUUGAAGUGGGCGGAAUACAUCAUGUAGCGGUGAAAUGCUUAGAUAUGAUGUAGAACACCGAUUGCGAAGGCAGCUCACUAAGCCAACAUUGACGCUGAGGCACGAAAGCGUGGGUAGCGAACAGG